UGCGGAAAGAUCUGGAAACCCACCACAUUAUUAUCCCACGAGAACCCCUACCAUUACGUGAUUAAUGAAAAGAAGUGACCCCUCUCCAUAAAU